GUACGUAACUGACGUGAGGUUAAUCCAGUCAAUCCAUAGCAGCUAGGCCAGCCAGCCAGCCAGGUAGAAAAAUGGCGAACAUUUAGAAGAAGACGGACAUCAAGAGUAUUUGUCAGUACACCAAAACGCAUAGCAGAGCAGGCAACAGAUGGCACACAGACAGCAGAGCUGGG